UAUUGAUUUGUUCUAUGUGUCUAGCCAAUGCUCUAAUAUGUUUAUGGUGGGUAGAGAAACAAAACUUUAAACAGUUUUGGGAAUGAUAAAGAAAGAGAUUAAUUAAAAGCAGAAUAUGGAUAUCCUGUUCUGAAGGAUGGAGAUGACAGAGGAGGAGAAGUUCACAGCUCUUGUAAUUUAAAGUCUAAAUAUAAACCAGCAAGGGUGCGAUGAGCAGCUAUAAACAGACGUGGCGCCAUCUACAGGCAGUAUUACUGAACUAUCAAAGCCAGAGCCUAAUACCAGAACAUCACGGAGAAAGAAAAUUCUCCUUCAUAAACACAAACUGGGACACAGCAUCAAGAAAAAGAAGAAUGCUCUCAGGAAAUCAAAAAACUCCAGAGAAAGAUCAUAUUUCUUAUAUUAUGAUUAGGCCGGUUAGUAAACCAUCUAAAACGGUUUCAUUGGGAAUUCUUCACAAGGUCUGGGAAGAAGAAGCUGGUUUACCUAAAGCCUGCAAGAAGUUGCCAUCAAGCAGAUUAUAAAACCAGAGAGAGCAAUCAAACCCAGGGAGUUAUAGACUAAUAGCUUUAACUUCACAUCUCUUCAAUCAAUUCUUCCACCUCUUUUACCUGCUGCUGAUCUUACGCUGUCACCUCAGAAACAUUCACCAAAGCCUCACAAGACAACGGAAACAUUUCACAUCCAUGUGCAUUACCCGUUAUUCCCAGUACGUGCAUGUUAAGAUGAUACGUAUG